UACAGCCACAUCUUGUUGAAACACCGGUUCCCGUACGAUCACUGAAGUUAAGCAACGUCGAGACUGGUCAGUAUCUAGAUGGGUGGCAGCGUGGGAAUACCAGGUGCUGAAA